rnacentral:rRNA from 1 species
CGAACGGGUGAGUAACGCGUGAGUAACCUGCCCUGGAGUGGGGGGACAACAGUUGGAAACGACUGCUAAUACCGCAUAAGCCCACGGAUCCGCAUGGAUCUGCGGGAAAAGGAUUUAUUCGCUUCAGGAUGGACUCGCGUCCAAUUAGCUAGCUGGUGAGGUAACGGCCCACCAAGGCGACGAUUGGUAGCCGGACUGAGAGGUUGAACGGCCACAUUGGGACUGAGACACGGCCCAGACUCCUACGGGAGGCAGCAUG